rnacentral:rRNA from 1 species
UACAGCACACCACCCUGCACAUGCCUAAUCUCAGAAGCUAAGCAGGGUCAGGCCUGGUUAGUACUUGGAUGGGAGAUCUGCGAGCUAGGAUGCUGCUU